CAAGGAUAGCAAUAUCCCUAGAGCGGCGGACUGGUGAGUAACGCGUGGGUGAUCUACCUCGGGGCUGGGGAUAGCUCGUGGAAACACGGGGUAAUACCGAAUACGUUCUUCUGGCUUUGGCCGGAAGAGGAAAGGCGCGAUUGCGCCGCCCUGGGAUGAGCCUGCGUCCAAUUAGCUAGUUGGUGGGGUAAAAGCCUACCAAGGGGAUGAUGGGUAGCCGGCCUGAGAGGGUGGCCCCCCACAUUGGCACUGACACACGGGGCAAACUCCUACGGGAGGCAGCAGUGGGUAUUUCUAGAAGUCUCCUAC
rnacentral:sRNA from 1 species